rnacentral:rRNA from 1 species
UACGGAGGGUGCAAGCGUUAUCCGGAUUCACUGGGUUUAAAGGGUGCGUAGGUGGGCUAGUAAGUCCGUGGUGAAAUCUCCAAGCUUAACUUGGAAACUGCCGUGGAUACUAUUAGUCUUGAAUAUUGUGGAGGUAAGCGGAAUAUGUCAUGUAGCGGUGAAAUGCUUAGAUAUGACAUAGAACACCGAUAGCGAAGGCAGCUUGCUACACAAUCAUUGACACUGAGGCACGAAAGCGUGGGGAUCGAACAGG